AUGCCAAUUUCAGCACUCAAUCCACAUCAGGGUAGGUGGACAAUCAAGGCAAGAGUGACGGCUAAAGGAGAGCUCAGGCACUACAAUAAUCCCCGUGGUAAUGGGAAAGUGUUCUCUUUUGACCUUCUUGAUUCUGAUGGUGGAGAUAUUAAAGUAACCUGCUUUAAUGCUGUCGCUGACCAAUUUUACCACCAGAUUGAAGCAGGGAAAGUUUAUUUAAUUUCCAGAGGAAAUCUAAAACCUGCUCAAAAG
rnacentral:misc_RNA from 1 species